UACGAAGGGGGCUAGCGUUGCUCGGAAUCAGCUGGGCGUAAAGCGCACGUAGGCGGAUUGCUAAGUCAGGGGUGAAAAUCCUGGAGCUCAACUCCAGAACUGCCUUUGAUUACUGGCGAUCUUGAGUCCGGGAGAGGUGAGUGGAACUGCGAAGUGUAGAGGUGAAAAUUCGUAGAUAUUCGCAAAGAACACCAGUGGCGAAAGGCGGCU
rnacentral:rRNA from 1 species